UACGGAGGGUGCAAGCGUUAAUCGGAAUUACUGGGCGUAAAGCGUGCGUAGGCGGCCGUUUAAGUCAGAUGUGAAAGCCCCGGGCUUAACCUGGGAACUGCAUUUGAUACUGGAGGGCUAGAGUUUAAUAGAGGGGAGUGGAAUUUCCGGUGUAGCGGUGAAAUGCGUAGAGAUCGGAAGGAACACCAGUGGCGAAGGCGACUCCCUGGAUUAAAACUGACGCUGAGGUACGAAAGCGUGGGUAGCAAACAGG
rnacentral:rRNA from 1 species